rnacentral:rRNA from 1 species
CAGUCGCCGCGGUAAUACGUAGGGUGCAAGCGUUAUCCGGAAUUAUUGGGCGUAAAGAGCUCGUAGGCGGUUUGUCGCGUCUGCUGUGAAAACUGGAGGCUCAACCUCCAGCCUGCAGUGGGUACGGGCAGACUAGAGUGCGGUAGGGGAGAUUGGAAUUCCUGGUGUAGCGGUGGAAUGCGCAGAUAUCAGGAGGAACACCGAUGGCGAAGGCAGAUCUCUGGGCCGUAACUGACGCUGAGGAGCGAAAGCGUGGGGAGCGAACAGGAUUAGAUACCCGAGUAGUCCCUGUCUCUUAUAC